rnacentral:rRNA from 1 species
UACAGGGGGCUCGAGCGUUAAUCGGAAUCACUGGGCUUAAAGGGUGCGUAGGUGGCUUGCCAAGCGUCCUGUGAAAUCCCACGGCUCAACCGUGGAACCGCAGGGCGAACUGGUAGGCUUGAGGCAUGUAGGGGCAGACAGAACAGUCGGUGGAGCGGUGAAAUGCGUAGAUAUCGACUGGAAUGCCGAUGGGGAAGCCGGUCUGCUGGGCAUGUCCUGACACUGAGGCACGAAAGCGUGGGGAUCAAACAGG